UGGAUCGUGCAUUCCAUGUUGAACACUGCCCAUCCCAUCAGCACUGGGCACAUAAGCAACAUUGGGCCAGAUCAGUAGUACGAUGGGGGACCACGUGCGAACCCCUGGUGACGAUCUAU
rnacentral:rRNA from 1 species